UACAGAGGUGGCAAGCGUUGUUCGGAAUUACUGGGCGUAAAGGGCGCGUAGGCGGUCAGGUCAGUCCCGUGUGAAAUCCCUCGGCUCAACUGAGGAACUGCACUGGAAACUACCUGGCUUGAGUUCGGGAGAGGGAAGCGGAAUUCCGGGUGUAGCGGUGAAAUGCGUAGAUAUCCGGAGGAACACCGGUGGCGAAGGCGGCUUCCUGGACCGACACUGACGCUGAGGCGCGAAAGCUAGGGGAGCAAACGGG
rnacentral:rRNA from 1 species